GGGCCCUGCCGGCACGGGGAGGGGGCGCCGGAAGAGCCUUGACCCUCUGACCUGGAGACCCGGAGAAAAACGCCAGAAAACAAGACCAGAAACCCAGAAGUAAAUUGCAGUGUGUGAUACCUUCAAUGAAUAUCCAAACAACUUACUCUCAUAAAUGACUGCUUCAUGUCUGGAGGCCCCUGAGGCCUGCUGUUCUAAAACCAUGGCCCCGGGUGCCAAUGACAGGUCCACUGCAUCAUAAACAGAAAUUGCCUGACCCUUGGCCAUGUGGAAUAUCUCAUAUGAUGAGGAAAACAAUCACAAAAGUGGGCUACGGGGUUGGCAAGUGUGCCACUUGGGGUUCCUAGUUAACAAACAACAGAAACCAAUGCUAGUUAAUUGAAUCAGAAAAGUUUUAUUGGAAAGCUAUAGAGGAGCUUGGGGAAUUGUCAGAGAGGCUGGAGAAUCAGAAACUGGCAGGAGCAAGGGAACUGGGCAGCCAAGGACACAGCCACAUCCUGCCAUAGGAGCUAUUGGCCGCCAGCACUGUCAGCACGGAACCCACAUCACUGCCGCCCCAUACCACCACUGCUGCCGCCCCUGCUGCCACCAACAUAAUCACCACAGCAGCACGGGGACAAAUGAUUCAGGACCCCCACUUCUCUGACUUUCUCCCUCCAGCCUUAAAGUACUGGGCACGAGUGUAUGAUGGGCUUAGUUGACAUCCCAGGUCCAAGUCGCAGCUGCUCAGGGCCCCAGGAGUACAGGUCUUGGGGCCUGUGGGCUUUCCUGGUAGAGCACGCCUCAAGUCCACAAGACACUGCAGUAGCAGGUUGCUCCAACACACCAGCAGGGGGCUUUGAGCACCGGGUAAGUGUCCCUUUCUGUGCAGAGAUUAAUUCUGACUAAAAGGCAAAUUAGGGUCGCUGCUAUGCAAUAGCAACAGAAAGGAAGAUGAUUAGGACCCAAUCGUGCUCCUAAAAUACCUCCUUAGGUGGUGCCCGUCGGAGCACAGCAAAGGUUAAUGGCAAACCUCCAAAACCCCACCCUAAAAGGGCUCUCCAAGGACUCAGACUCCUGAGCCUCCAUAACCAGCUGAGGUGCUGGCUGAAGGCCAAGGGGAAACCUAGAAUGACUUGUGAGGGAUGAAGUCAUAAAUAUCAGCUUGACCAGUUGCAGAAAAAAGAGCUGCAGUUUCAACCCACGUUUCUGUACUUGCAGUGAGAGAAGAAGAAUGACAUCUUGCUUUUUCUAAAUUGGAAAAAUUUUUGAUUUUGCUUAUUUUGUUGUAAUAAUAUUCAUGAAAAUGCACUGACACUGUAAACAAUAUGAAGCAAAUUCAUUAUUUCAAGUGAAAAACAAAAGCCUCCUUCCUGA
rnacentral:lncRNA from 10 species